rnacentral:piRNA from 1 species
AUGACUCAAAGGACAGACAGGAAGUGCU